CCUUGAUCGACCUGACACCAACAUUAGGCCUACUCGAUGUGUAUGAAGCAAGCUGCCUCUGCAUCAAGUGAGAGAAGAAGCCGCCACUGAAAAGCUUUUUGGACUGUCAUUUGAAGGACACAAAUGAAAGGGCAGGAAUUCUGCUCUGCGGCGUUGGCCUCACUAUUUAUUCAAGAAGCCCUCGGACACCACCAGAAUGUAUGAAAAUUAUAAACAGUAGGCACAGUCAUUCCUUGAUCGACCUGGCAUCAACAUCGCUCGAUGUGUAUGAAGCUGCAAGUGAGAGAAGAAGCCGCCACUGAACACCUUUUUGGACUGUCAUGACUCAAAUGAAAGGACAGGACUUCUACUCUGCUGGGUCGGCCUCACUACAUAUUCAAGAAGCCCUCGGACGUCAUCAGAAUGUAUUAAUGUGAAGAGGCAACAAGGGAGAGAUGAACGCUAUCAAAAAUGUGGAGAUGGAUCUGGCAGCCGACCGCUUUGGCACACACCCAACAAGAAACAAAACAAUAAAGAAUACUAAAAUGCAUAA